rnacentral:rRNA from 1 species
AUACGGAGGAUCCGAGCGUUAUCCGGAUUUAUUGGGUUUAAAGGGAGCGUAGGUGGAUUGUUAAGUCAGUUGUGAAAGUUUGCGGCUCAACCGUAAAAUUGCAGUUGAAACUGGCAGUCUUGAGUACAGUAGAGGUGGGCGGAAUUCGUGGUGUAGCGGGGAAAUGCUUAGAUAUCACGAAGAACUCCGAUUGCGAAGGCAGCUCACUAGACUGUUACUGACACUGAUGCUCGAAAGUGUGGGUAUCAAACAGGAUUAGAUACCCUGGUAGUCCACACAGUAAACGAUGAAUACUCGCUGUUUGCGAUAUACAGUAAGCGGCCAAGCGAAAGCAUUAAGUAUUCCACCUGGGGAGUACGCCGGCAACGGUGAAACUCAAAGGAAUUGACGGGG